UACAGAUGAGCCAAGCGUUGUCCGGAUUGACUGGGCGUAAAGCGCACGCAGGCGGAUGCGCGCGUGGGGUGUGAAAUCUGGCCGCUUAACGGCCAGGCGCCAUCCCAUACGGCGCGUCUGGAGUGAUGCAGAGGUCGAUGGAAUUGCCGGUGUAGUGGUGAAAUGCGUAGAGAUCGGCAGGAACACCCAGGGGGAAACCAGUCGACUGGGCAUCUACUGACGCUGAGGUGCGAGAGCGUGGGGAGCGAACCGG
rnacentral:rRNA from 1 species